GGAAAUGCCACCACUGGAUAGAGAGCCACACGCUGCUUCCUAUCAUACGUCUACCUGGACCUAACUCAGGAAGAAACAUACACUUCCUACAUUUUAUCCCAUAAGCAAAGCAACUUCUGUAGAACUGCCCAUGGAGAUUUUGUCUUAACUUCAAAAAGUGCUUCUCCUAAUUUAUUUUCUGUUGCACGGUAUCAAGAAGCACCUGUGGAAAAAAAGGAUUCAAAAGAAGAAAACCAUAACCAUCUUACAAGUUUUUGCAUUGCUGAAGACUGACGACUUCACCCAGACCCACCAACUGGUCCUGGGACCCCCACCCAGGAACCCAUUCAGUGCAGGAGGACAGCUUCAGCUCCCUGUGUCUUCACGUGUGACCCAAUUGAUCAGCACUUCCCUCUUCCUGGCCCCCUACUGACCAAACUAUCCUUUAAAAACCCUAGUCACUGAGUUUCCAGGGAGACUAAUUUGACUAAUAAUAAAACUGGUCUCCCAUUCAGCCAGCUCUGCAUGAAUUAAACUUUCUCUAUUGCAUUCCCCUGUCUUAACAAAUCAGCUGUACCUGGGCACUGGGCAAAAUGAACCCAUUGGAUGGCUACAUAUGUCCAGGUUAAUCCCGUCAUCACUGGGGGACUUGUGUAGGGGAUUUUGGCUCUGGAAAGGAUGGAUUAGAGAUCUGUGUUCUCCAGACUGAAGUGUGCAGAUUAUUGCCAAGAAAAACCUCUGAGAAGCACAAGCUCAGGCCUUGGGGACUUCACGCAUGUUGGUUGCCUGCUGAAUAGGAGGCUCCUGUGUCCACCCUCACAGCUUGGUCCUCACUUAUAUGAGCCCAACUGGGAAUGCUCUCUGUGAUUCAGGUCCACUUACUUCUAGAAUGCUCAGGUAGGAAGUAAUCAUUAGAAGCAGAUGAAGUAUGUUACCCCAGGAGCAUAGUAGAUUAGCCAUUGACUUGUUUUCCCCCUGUUGGAUCUUAAUCUUCCAUGCAAAUUAAUCACCAAGGGCUCAAAAACAGCCCUUGGAUUAACAUGCUCUGUUCACAGUCCUGGCAUGUUGGGACCCAAGCCCAGUCCCUCAUGGGGAGGGACUUCACUUUCUUUUGCUCCUCCCCAGUAGCCCUCCUAUUGGUUUGGAUACAGCUACCCUGGGUUUGGCUCCUGCCUUUUCCUUCACAGUUGCUACCCAGGAACAGGGAAAAAAGGGGUCUGCUAUUGAUGAUGUUGGUAACCCCCACUGGGUGAACCUCACUGGGUGAACAGGUCAGCCACACACGCUACAAAAAAGAAGGGCAUCUGCCUCAACAGUAGAGUGAAGAAAGGCAGAAGUCUGCUCCUUAUGAGCUAGCCUCCAGGGCAUACAAAGACAUUCUUACACAUUCAUUCCUUUUUGUAUUCACUUUUUGAACAUUUAUUGGGCAUCUGUAGUAUGCUGGGACAUUCAUUGGUUCUGAAGACAUGGAGAUAAACAUUGGGGUACUCUGAUCCAUAAAACAAAUACUUCUAAACCUGCAAAAAACUUAGCCACACACUAAUAGUGGGGAACUUCAACAUCCUACUGACAGCUUUAAAUGGAUGAUUGUGGUGAAAACUAACAAAGAAAUUCUGGACUUAAACUUGACACUUGACGAAUUUGACCUAAUAGUCUUAUUGUUUUAUCCAAAUUACCACUGUGUCCCUUUUAAGUAGGGCAUUUAGACCAAUUACAUUGAAGGUUAAUAUUGAUAUGUGGGAUGUUUAUCCUGUCAUUGUUUUGUAGACUCAAUUGUGCAGUUGCUUGAUAGAGUCAUUGGACGAUGUACUUAAGUGUGUUUUUAUGUUAGUAGUACUCUAUCUAACAAACACAGAAUAUACAUUCUUCUCAUCUGCAUAUAGAACAU
ensembl:lncRNA novel transcript